rnacentral:rRNA from 1 species
CAAUAGCGUAUAUUAAAGUUGUUGCGGUUAAAAAGCUCGUAGUUGGAGUUCUGCCAGGUGCCGCCUGUCCGCCCCAGUGGUGAGUACGUGGCGCGCAUUUGGCCCUUUCAAGGGGAGCGUAUCUGCACUUUAUCGUGUGGUGCGGGAUCCUUGACUUUUACUUUGAGGAAAUAGGAGUGUUCCAAGCAGGCUCUCGUCGUGCACAGCUCAGCAUGGAAUAAUAGCAUUGGACCUCGAUUCUAAGCUGUUGGUUGCCAGAAGCGAGGUAAUGAUGAAGAGGGAUAGUUGGGGGCAUUCGUAUUUAACUGUCAGAAGUGAAAUUCUUGGAUUUGUUAAAGACGGACUACUGCGAAAGCAUCUGCCAUGGAUGUUUUCAUUGA